GAAGAAGAACCAAAGAACUGCUAACUCUUUAUCCCAUGCCUAAACGCAUGGCUUCCUCA
rnacentral:tRNA from 1 species